AGCCUCCUGGGUAGCUGGGAUUACAGGCGUGCGCCACCAAACCAAGUUUUAUUCUUAGUUCUCUGCCCUGAUCAUCUUAUACCAUCUCCCUGGAUGACUUCAUCAAGACCCUGGUUUUGAGCCAUGAUAUGCUGAUGACAUCCAUAUAAAGAUGUCCAUAUGUGACGACCAAAUAUGGUCUCUAGCCCAGCCCACUCUUCUGGAGUUGUAACAUUCUAGGAAAUUCCAGAUCUGAGCACAAAACAGAGACAAAUAUAUCAUCUGCAUUCUCAAUACAAAGGCUUUGGGAGAGCCAAAAUCAUGAUGUUUGCUGGAAACACUGCCUAUUGUCUCUUGAAGCCAAAAGAAAAAGGCAAUCCUUCAUCAUCUGUUUCCCAGGUAAAAUGAUUUGACGGAAGAAUUCAAAUAGUUCUCUUUUACUUUCUGACAAAUUGCUCACAUUUCCCCCCAAAUCAGUCUCUCUCUCUCUCGCUCUCUCUCUCUCUCUCUCUCCCUCUCUAAAAUGUGAUUUGGCCUAGAAUCUCUGCCACUGUAGUUCUUUAAAAUAAUAUUGAGUUUAAUUAU